rnacentral:rRNA from 1 species
UACAGAGGUCUCAAGCGUUGUUCGGAUUCAUUGGGCGUAAAGGGUGUGUAGGUGGCGCGCUAAGUCGGGUGUGAAAUUUCGGAGCUUAACUCCGAAACUGCAUUCGAUACUGGCGUGCUUGAGGACUGGAGAGGAGACUGGAAUUCAUGGUGUAGCAGUGAAAUGCGUAGAGAUCAUGAGGAAGACCAGUGGCGAAGGCGGGUCUCUGGGCCAUUACUGACGCUGAGGAGCGAAAGCGUGGGGAGCGAACAGG